rnacentral:rRNA from 1 species
UACGAAGGGGGCUAGCGUUGCUCGGAAUCACUGGGCGUAAAGGGUGCGUAGGCGGGUCUUUAAGUCAGGGGUGAAAUCCUGGAGCUCAACUCCAGAACUGCCUUUGAUACUGAGGAUCUUGAGUUCGGGAGAGGUGAGUGGAACUGCGAGUGUAGAGGUGAAAUUCGUAGAUAUUCGCAAGAACACCAGUGGCGAAGGCGGCUCACUGGCCCGAUACUGACGCUAAGGCACGAAAGCGUGGGGAGCAAACAGG